AACUCAUGGUUAGGUCAAUGUAUCAAUUUCUUCUUGAACCUUAGCCAUGCUUCAAGCAACGGUUCACCACUAGCUUUUAGAAAUUUUGUAAUCUCGUCUAUAAAUU
rfam:Capsicum annuum cultivar Zunla-1 unplaced genomic scaffold scaffold174, whole genome shotgun sequence